rnacentral:tRNA from 1 species
UAUAUUUAAGUGUUUAGCAUAUAAAUUUUUGAAUUUUAUGGGAAUAAUUUAUUUUAUUAAAUAUAA